rnacentral:rRNA from 1 species
CCUACGGGGGGCAGCAGUGGGGAAUAUUGCACAAUGGGGGAAACCCUGAUGCAGCGACGCCGCGUGAGUGAAGAAGUAAUUCGUUAUGUAAAGCUCUAUCAGCAGGGAAGAAAAUGACGGUACCUGAGUAAGAAGCCCCGGCUACCGACGUGCCAGCAGCCGCCGUAAGACGUAGGGGACAAGCGUUAUCCGGAUUUACUGGGUGUAAAGGGAGCGUAGACGGCAGUGCAAGUCUGGAGUGAAAGGCGGGGGCUCAACCCCCGGACUGCUCUGGAAACUGUACGGCUGGAGUGCAGGAGAGGUAAGCGGAAUUCCUAGUGUAGCGGUGAAAUGCGUAGAUAUUAGGAAGAACACCAGUGGCGAAGGCGGCUUACUGGACUGUAACUGACGUUGAGGCUCGAAAGCGUGGGGAGCAAACAGGAUUAGAUACCCGUGUAGUC